rnacentral:snRNA from 1 species
UUACUCACUUUGGCAGUACACAUAAUAAAAUUGAAACGACACAAUAAAGAUAAACAUGGUGCCUCAACAAAGCAUGACACACAAAAUAAUGAAGCUUUAUAUAUUUUU